GUGUCAGCAGCCGCGGUAAUACGGAGGAUCCAAGCGUUAUCCGGAUUUAUUGGGUUUAAAGGGUGCGUAGGCGGCCUGUUAAGUCAGGGGUGAAAGACGGUGGCUCAACCAUCGCAGUGCCCUUGAUACUGAUGGGCUUGAAUAGACUAGAGGUAGGCGGAAUGUGACAAGUAGCGGUGAAAUGCAUAGAUAUGUCACAGAACACCGAUUGCGAAGGCAGCUUACUAUGGUCUGAUUGACGCUGAGGCACGAAAGCGUGGGGAUCGAACAGGAUUAGAUACCCUGGUAGUCCACGCCCUAAACGAUGAACACUCGCUGUUGGCGAUAAACGGUCAGCGGCUAAGCGAAAGCGUUAAGUGUUCCACCUGGGGAGUACGCCCGCAAGGGUGAA
rnacentral:rRNA from 1 species